rnacentral:rRNA from 1 species
UAGGGAAUCUUCCACAAUGGGCGAAAGCCUGAUGGAGCAACGCCGCAUGUGUGAUGAAGGGUUUCGGCUCGUAAAACACUGUUGUAAGAGAAGAAUGACAUUGAGAGUAACUGCUCAAUGUGUGACGGUAUCUUACCAGAAAGGAACGGCUAAAUACGUGCCGG